GACCCAGACUCCUACGGGAGGCAGCAGUCGAGAAUCAUUCACAAUGGGGGGAACCCUGAUCCAGCGACGCCGCGUGAGUGAAGAAGUAUUUCGGUAUGUAAAGCUCUAUCAGCAGGGAAGAAGAUGACGGUACCUGAGUAAGAAGCCCCGGCUAACUACGUGCCAGCAGCCGCGGUAAUACGUAGGGGGCAAGCGUUAUCCGGAUUUACUGGGUGUAAAGGGAGCGUAGACGGUGAGACAAGUCUGAAGUGAAAGCCCGGGGCUCAACCCCGGGACUGCUUUGGAAACUGCCUGACUGGAGUGCUGGAGAGGCAAGCGGAAUUCCUAGUGUAGCGGUGAAAUGCGUAGAUAUUAGGAGGAACACCAGUGGCGAAGGCGGCUUACUGGACUGUAACUGACGUUGAGGCUCGAAAGCGUGGGGAGCGAACAGGAUUAGAUACCCCAGUA
rnacentral:rRNA from 1 species